CACAACCGGCACUACUUUGCCUUGACUGUGUGCAUUGUCUCCCUCUCUUUCAUCCUCUUGCUCGCUCUAUCACAUCGGAGCUCCUCUCCCUCAGCUGCUCUGGGGAUGAAGAUCUCUGUCAGGGUGCAGCACUGUCUGAAUUGUGUGACUUGUCUAGUUUAUCUUUUUCUACUUUUACUAAUGACCCUACAAUCUACAGGUAAUUUUAUUUUUCAUUUAAUCUGGUGGUUAUUAAAUUGAUUAUUCCAUAAAAGGUCAGAAAAUGGUAUUAAAAAAACUCUUAGUCACAGCUUCAUUAAGCUCAUGGUGACACCCUCAGAUUUGUCCCAAAUAGAUUAUUUUCACUGUCACAUUAAACAAAACAGUGGAGUAUUUUUUAUUUUUUUGUUUUAAUUUGGAAGCUUGUAAAAGGGAAAUUUGAGGAAAUUAAUUUUAUUCAUUUUUAUUGAUUGAAAUAUUGGAAUUCUAUACGACUUAUCUGAUAAUAUCAAAUAUUUGUUACAUCCAAUACCUGUCUUUUUUUUAAUGGACUAGAUUUUUUGGUUCUUUGUAGAAAUACUUAAUAACAUGAAUGCAGUUUCAUGCAGAAGGACCCAAAAUAUCUCUUUCUCACUCACACAAUAUAUCAUAAGAUGAUGCAGAUAGGUUAAAAACUGAUUCACAUUAUCCUUUUUUUCUCUUGCAGUUGUAUAAAGAAGCCAUUUCAUCAGGCAGGAGGUUGACCUUUCAAAGUGUUAUGCAGCACCUUGAUAAAGAGGACACAAAUCAGAAUAGGAGGACGGCUGCCCUUCUUGGUCUCCCACGUUUUUUCUCGGAGGAUACUUCAGAGAUCAUCAGGAUGUGUGAUCGUCAGACGUUCCUGCAGAAACCGUCAGAGCCCAGAGGGAUGCUUACCGAUGCUCAGGAGAUGGACGAGGAGAGGAAACGUUCUCCGUCCUCCAGACAGAUCUGAAGACCCGACCGGCCUCUGGGGUGGCGUUCGGUGAAGUUAUCGCUUCUGCUGGAGGAUAAAUGUGGAGAUCUGCAGAUAGAAGCCAAGAAGAUGAAUGGAGCUGGAGAGGAAGAAGAUCUACGUCUGCUCCCAGCGGUGGAUCUGAAGUUAACCAAACUGGUUCUGACUCUGACUGGAAUAACUGUGACAUUAGGUGUUUAUGCACGUUUUAUUUUCCUCCUGAUUCAUGUCUGUGUAGUUUCUCAUUCAUCCAGGUCAUGGUUAUCCAAAG